rnacentral:rRNA from 1 species
UACGUAGGCAGUAAGCGUUGUUCGGAAUUACUGGGCGUAAAGAGUGUGUAGGCGGUGCUCUAAGUUCGGUGUGAAAUCUCCUGGCUCAACUGGGAGGGUGCGCCGGAAACUGGGGUGCUGGAGCGCGGGAGAGGAAAGCGGAAUUCCUGGUGUAGCGGUGAAAUGCGUAGAUAUCAGGAGGAACACCGGCGGUGUAGACGGCUUUCUGGACCGUAGCUGACGCUGAGACACGAAAGCGUGGGUAGCAAACAGG